rnacentral:rRNA from 1 species
AUGGAGAGGCGAUGGCCGCCGCCUGAGCACGGUGGUGGUUAUCGCGCGAACCAGGACGACGGAAGCCCGGUGGUGGUUACCUCCAGAACAAGGACAAUGGAAGCCAGCGGUGUUGCUGGUCCUCGCGGAGACGACGGCGCCCACUGGGGGACCUCGAUCCGCCGCCCAAUCAAGCCUAGCAUCGAUCCGGCCGCUGCUCCUCCACAUCUCCAGCUUGUGUUCCUCCACGGGUCCAAUCCUCGUGAAUAUGGUGGCCCGAGCCCCAUCCACCUUGGUCCUCUUCCGCCGCAGAAAGAUGUGACCUCCCUGGAGUAG